CCACUUUGCAUAUCCGCGCAAAGCUUGUUCACUUGGUCUUGGAUCGCUUUGACAACAUCCAUGACCUUACCCUCCAACCUCGUAUAUUCUUCCCUUAAAGCGCCUUGGUCUUCCUUGAGAUCAUCAAGUUGUUCCAAGGUGUGAGCUUCAAGGGUUGAGAGUGAAUUCUCCACUACUUCAAUGUGUUCCCCCAUAUUGAGAAAUACUUCCUCAAGAGAUCCACCGGUAGGGGCUGGUGGUCGGCUCUUGCUUCGAGUUUGUCGAGUUUUCUUACUCGUGGUUUGGGGUUCGACCACUCGACCCCGCUCGUCAUG
rnacentral:lncRNA from 1 species